GCCCACCAAGGCGACGAUCAGUAGCCGGACUGAGAGGUUGACCGGCCACAUUGGGACUGAGAUACGGCCCAGACUCCUACGGGAGGCAGCAGUGGGGAAUAUUGGGCAAUGGGCGCAAGUCUGACCCAGCAACGCCGCGUGAAGGAAGAAGGCUUUCGGGUUGUAAACUUCUUUUGUCAGGGAAGAGCAGAAGACGGUACCUGACGAAUAAGCCACGGCUAACUAC
rnacentral:rRNA from 1 species